GGGAGUGAAAUAGAACCUGAAACCCUGCACUUACAAGCUGUGGAAGCACAUUUCUUGUGUGACCGCGUACUUUUUGUAGAACGGGCCAACGAGUUACGUUAAGUAGCAAGGUUAAGCACUUAAGGUGUGGAGCCGUAGCGAAAGCGAGUUUUAACUGAGCGUUCAGUUACUUGACGUAGACCCGAAACCGGGCGACCUACCCAUGAGCAGGAUGAAGCGAAAGUAAAAUUUCGUGGAGGUCCGAACCCACGAGCGUUGAAAAGCUCGGGGAUGACUUGUGGGUAGCGGUGAAAUUCCAAUCGAGCCCGGAGAUAGCUGGUUCUCCCCGAAAUAGCUUUAGGGCUAGCCUCAAGGUGAGAGAUACGGAGGUAGAGCACUGAAUGUCCUAGGGG
rnacentral:rRNA from 1 species